CCAGUUCCUGCAUAUUCUUUCUGAGGUCUCCGAUUGAGGACUGCAGUGUGGUAAGCAUCUUCUGGGACAUAGCGUCCAGCAUGAUCUGAAGCAUGUCUUUGGUGAGUUGGGGCUCUGGACAUGGGGAUUCACAGGCCCGUUCGUACUCGUUCUGGCUGUGCUCCGGGUGCGUCGUACUUCUCCCCUGAACUUUUGAGGCAAAGAAAUUAGCUUUGUCGAGU